rnacentral:rRNA from 1 species
UACGGAGGGGGCUAGCGUUGUUCGGAAUUACUGGGCGUAAAGCGUACGUAGGCGGCUUUGUAAGUUAGAGGUGAAAGCCCGGGGCUCAACUCCGGAAUUGCCUUUAAGACUGCAUCGCUUGAAUCAUGGAGAGGUGAGUGGAAUUCCGGGUGUAGCGGUGGAAUGCGUAGAGAUCCGGAAGAACACCAGUGGCGAAGGCGGCCUGCUGGGCAGUUGCUGACGCUGAGGCGCGACAGCGUGGGGAGCAAACAGG